CGUGGCGGCGGCCUAAGGCCGGGCCUUUGAUACGCCUGUGGGGACAUCGUUGCCUCGAUUGUGGGAUCCAGCACGCACCAUCUCGGAGUGCUUCGGCACCUGCGUGCUCCGGGCCUCCGCCUGCGAGCUCCCCAUUCGGCCCGUCUUGAAACACGGACCAAGGUGUCUGACAUGUGUGCGAGUCAAUGGGCUAGAAAACCCGUAAGACGUAAGGAAGCUGAUUGGUGAGAUCCCUCACGGGUGCACCGCC
rnacentral:ncRNA from 1 species